rnacentral:rRNA from 1 species
UCGACGGGGAUGGUACAUGCGAGGGAGUAGUUUACUAUGACCAGACAAGUGCCAUCCUAGUGGCGGACGGGUGAGUAACGCGUGGGCAACCUGCCCUGUACAGGGGGAUAACACUUAGAAAUAGGUGCUAAUACCGCAUGAGCGCACAAAGGCGCAUGCCUAUGUGCGGGAAGCCCGCGAGGGCGGUACGGGAUGGGCCCGCGUCUGAUUAGCCAGUUGGCAGGGUAACGGCCUACCAAAGCGACGAUCAGUAGCCGGCCUGAGAGGGUGGACGGCCACAUUGGGACUGAGACACGGCCCAAACUCCUACGGGAGGCAGCAGUGGGGGAUAUUGCACAAUGGGGGAAACCCUGAUGCAGCGACGCCGCGUGAGUGAAGGAGCGUUUCGGCGCGUAAAGCUCUAUCAGCAGGGAAGACAAACUGCCCCGGAAGGGGCAGCCGGACGGUACCUGACCAAGAAGCCCCGGCUAACUACGUGCCAGCAGCCGCGGUAAUACGUAGGGGGCAAGCGUUAUCCGGAUUUACUGGGUGUAAAGGGAGCGUAGACGGCAAGACAAGCCUGGAGUGAAAGGCGGGGGCCCAACCCCCGGACUGCUCUGGGAACUGUCUGGCUGGAGUGCAGGAGGGGUAAGUGGAAUUCCUAGUGUAGCGGUGAAAUGCGUAGAUAUUAGGAGGAACACCAGUGGCGAAGGCGGCUUACUGGACUGUAACUGACGUUGAGGCUCNGAAGCGUGGGGAGCNAACAGGAUUAGAUACCCUGGUAGUCCACGCCGUAAACGAUGACCACUAGGUGUCGGGGGC